rnacentral:rRNA from 1 species
AUUGAACGCUGGCGGCAGGCCUAACACAUGCAAGUCGAGCGCGCGGCGGACGGGUGUGUGAUGUCUGGGAAACUGCCUGAUGGGGGGGGAUAACUACUGGAAACGGUGGCUAAUACCGCAUACCAUCAGAUGUGCCCAGAGGGGAUUCGCUAGUAGGUGGGGUAACGGCUCACCUAGGCGACGAUCCCUAGCUGGUCUGAGAGGGUGACCAGCCACACUGGAACUGAGACACGGUCCAGACUCCUACGGGAGGCAGCAGUGGGGAAUAUUGCACAAUGGGCGCAAGCCUGAUGCAGCCAUGCCGCGGGUGUGAAGAAGGCCUUCGGGUUGUAAAGCACUUUCAGCGAGGAGGCGUUACCCGCAGAAGAAGCACCGGCUAACUCCGUGCCAGCAGCCGCGGUAAUUC